rnacentral:rRNA from 2 species
UGUCUGGCGGCAAAAGCGCGGUGGUCCCACCUGACCCCAUGCCGAACUCAGAAGUGAAACGCCGUAGCGCCGAUGGUAGUGUGGGGUUUCCCCAUGCGAGAGUAGGGAACUGCCAGACAU